rnacentral:rRNA from 1 species
GGUGGCGAGUGGCGGACGGGUGAGGAAUACAUCGGAAUCUACUUUUUCGUGGGGGAUAACGUAGGGAAACUUACGCUAAUACCGCAUACGACCUACGGGUGAAAGCAGGGGAUCUUCGGACCUUGCGCGAUUGAAUGAGCCGAUGUCGGAUUAGCUAGUUGGCGGGGUAAAGGCCCACCAAGGCGACGAUCCGUAGCUGGUCUGAGAGGAUGAUCAGCCACACUGGAACUGAGACACGGUCCAGACUCCUACGGGAGGCAGCAGUGGGGAAUAUUGGACAAUGGGCGCAAGCCUGAUCCAGCCAUACCGCGUGGGUGAAGAAGGCCUUCGGGUUGUAAAGCCCUUUUGUUGGGAAAGAAAUCCAGCUGGUUAAUACCCGGUUGGGAUGACGGUACCCAAAGAAUAAGCACCGGCUAACUUCGUGCCAGCAGCCGCGGUAAUACGAAGGGUGCAAGCGUUACUCGGAAUUACUGGGCGUAAAGCGUGCGUAGGUGGUCGUUUAAGUCCGUUGUGAAAGCCCUGGGCUCAACCUGGGAACUGCAGUGGAUACUGGGCGACUAGAAUGUGGUAGAGGGUAGCGGAAUUCCUGGUGUAGCAGUGAAAUGCGUAGAGAUCAGGAGGAACAUCCAUGGCGAAGGCAGCUACCUGGACCAACAUUGACACU